UCAAAGUCGGCCAAACCAAGUAAUAAAAAAUAAAAAUAUCAAGUUUUAUCCUUAUCUUUAUAUGAGUAUAAAUACAUCCAUAUCCAUUGCCAUAGAAAUAUUUCCUUCAUUUUACAACACACUUAUACACUUAAAAAGAAGGCAAAAACCGAAAUCAAGAAAGGAAAGGAGAAGGAAGAAAGUUUAGCACUUUCAAUUCAUUUCAAACAAAGAUCAUCAAGUUUUACGGUAAGAUACCUUCUAUGCUUAUGUGGUAUGAUUUUCAUGGUAAUAUUUAUGCUUAAGUUAUGCAUGAAAAACCAAAGUAUGCUAAUGGUGGAGAAAUCCACAAAUGUUAUGAUUAUGGUGGAGAAAUCCACAAAUGUUAGAUAUAUCUAUGCCUUAGGACAAGUCCGAAGGGCACCGGCAUGUCGGAAUAUGGAAGUAUGGGUUUGAUUGCUUUCUUUGGUGUAGUAUUAUCAUGAUAAAUGUUCAAGCAUGGUAUCUUACUGAGUAUUUCCUUAUACUCAAAGUAUGUUAUGCUAAACUUUUCAGAUCCAUGAUCAUUUGAAUUGAUGGAAGUUAGUUGGCUUACGCGAUGAUGGAUUAAGGACAACGAAGUUUUGCACCGAAAGUUUUCUUUUGUGUGUUUUGUUCGAUGGCAGUUUUUACAUCUAUUUUUCUUAUGGUCUUAUGUAAAAAUAUGAACAUGGAAUGA
rnacentral:lncRNA from 1 species